AGAGUUUGAUCCUGGCUCAGGAUGAACGCUAGCGGGAGGCUUAACACAUGCAAGUCGAGCGGGAUUGGAUAGCUUGCUAUCCAUGAGAGCGGCGCACGGGUGAGUAACGCGUAUGCAACCUACCUUUUACAGGGGAAUAGCCCAGGGAAACUUGGAUUAAUGCCCCAUGGUAUCAUAAUACCGCAUGGUAUAUUGAUUAAAGUUCCGACGGUAAAAGAUGGGCAUGCGUGACAUUAGUUUGUUGGCGGGGUAACGGCCCACCAAGACUACGAUGUCUAGGGGUUCUGAGAGGAUGAUCCCCCACACUGGUACUGAGACACGGACCAGACUCCUACGGGAGGCAGCAGUGAGGAAUAUUGGUCAAUGGGCGCAAGCCUGAACCAGCCAUCCCGCGUGAAGGACGACUGCCCUAUGGGUUGUAAACUUCUUUUCUGUCCCAAGAACGGGCGAUACGUGUAUCGUUAUGACGGUAGGACAGGAAUAAGCAUCGGCUAACUCCGUGCCAGCAGCCGCGGUAAUACGGAGGAUGCGAGCGUUAUCCGGAUUCAUUGGGUUUAAAGGGUGCGUAGGCGGCUUUUUAAGUCAGUGGUGAAAUCCUGCGGCUCAACCGUAGAACUGCCAUUGAUACUGACAAGCUUGAAUUCAAUUGAAGUAGGCGGAAUGAGUAGUGUAGCGGUGAAAUGCUUAGAUAUUACUCAGAACACCAAUUGCGAAGGCAGCUUACUAAACUGAUAUUGACGCUGAGGCACGAAAGCGUGGGUAGCGAACAGGAUUAGAUACCCUGGUAGUCCACGCCGUAAACGAUGUUCACUCGCUGUAUGCGAUACACAGUAUGCGGCCAAGCGAAAGCAUUAAGUGAACCACCUGGGGAGUACGUCGGCAACGGUGAAACUCAAAGGAAUUGACGGGGGCCCGCACAAGCGGAGGAACAUGUGGUUUAAUUCGAUGAUACGCGAGGAACCUUACCUGGGCUUAAAUGUAGAGUGCAUGUUGUGGAAACACACUUCCCUUCGGGGCUCUUUACAAGGUGCUGCAUGGUUGUCGUCAGCUCGUGCCGUGAGGUGUCGGGUUAAGUCCCAUAACGAGCGCAACCCCUAUCGUUAGUUGCCAUCAGGUCAAGCUGGGAACUCUAACGAGACUGCCACCGUAAGGUGAGAGGAAGGUGGGGAUGACGUCAAAUCAGCACGGCCCUUAUGUCCAGGGCUACACACGUGUUACAAUGGUCGGUACAAAGGGCAGCUACACCGCGAGGUGAUGCUAAUCUCUAAAGCCGGUCUCAGUUCGGAUCGGAGUCUGCAACUCGACUCCGUGAAGUUGGAUUCGCUAGUAAUCGGAUAUCAGCCAUGAUCCGGUGAAUACGUUCCCGGGCCUUGUACACACCGCCCGUCAAACCAUGGAAGCUGGGGGGACCUGAAGUCUGUCACCGUAAGAGCG
rnacentral:rRNA from 1 species